rnacentral:rRNA from 1 species
UACCAGCACCCCGAGUGGUCGGGACGUUUAUUGGGCCUAAAGCAUCCGUAGCCGGUUCUACGAGUCUUCCGUUAAAUCCAACUGCUUAACAGAUGGGCUGCGGAAGAUACUAUAGAGCUAGGAGGCGGGAGAGGCAAGCGGUACUCGAUGGGUAGGGGUAAAAUCCGUUGAUCCAUUGAAGACCACCAGUGGCGAAGGCGGCUUGCCAGAACGCGCUCGACGGUGAGGGAUGAAAGCUGGGGGAGCAAACCGG